rnacentral:antisense_RNA from 1 species
UUUGAUCGAUCCCAGCCACAGCGGCCGCGCCGCGGGCCGGUCCUGCCCGUAGGUGGCGAGCAAGGCCUGCGCCUC